UACAGAGGUCUCAAGCGUUGUUCGGAUUCAUUGGGCGUAAAGGGUGCGUAGGUGGCGCGGUAAGUCGGGUGGGAAAUCUCGGAGCUUAACUCCGAAACUGCAUUCGAUACUGCCGUGCUUGAGGACUGGAGAGGAGACUGGAAUUUACGGUGUAGCGGUGAAAUGCGUAGAUAUCGUAAGGAAGACCAGUGGCGAAGGCGGGUCUCUGGACAGUUCCUGACGCUGAGGCACGAAGGCCAGGGGAGCAAACGGG
rnacentral:rRNA from 1 species